AGAGCGAACGCUGGCGGCAUGCUUAACACAUGCAAGUCGCACGGUCAGCAAUGGCAGUGGCGGACGGGUGAGUAACGCGUAGGAAUUUAUCUAGUGGUGGGGGACAACCGUGGGAAACUACGGCUAAUACCGCAUGAAGCCUGAGGGCCAAAGGUCGCAAGACCGCCAUCUGAGGAGCCUGCGUCUGAUUAGCUAGUUGGUGGGGUAAAGGCCUACCAAGGCUGCGAUCAGUAGCUGGUCUGAGAGGAUGAUCAGCCACAUUGGGACUGAGACACGGCCCAAACUCCUACGGAGGCAGCAGUGGGGAAUAUUGGACAAUGGGCGCAAGCCUGAUCCAGCAAUGCCGCGUGUGUGAAGAAGGUCUUCGGAUUGUAAAGCACUUUCGACGGGACGAUAAUGACGGUACCCGUAGAAGGAAGCCCGGCUAACUUCGUGCCAGCAGCCGC
rnacentral:rRNA from 1 species